CAUCAGCGAAGAGAACUAACUUUGCCUCUUCAUGAAUAUAGAAUGGGUUUUCUGUAAUUGGGGUGUUACACAUCCCCCCCUGACGAUGAAGUGGGUACGUGACUUCCUGUUUCAACGUACCUAAUCAGCACAUCACCACACUGAUGCAGCACCUGCACCAGACCAUGCAAGCUGCAAACAUGGCCUGGUUUGAAGCCAGUUUCCUCUCCUCCAUCAACUAUGGCGAAGCUGCCACAGACUCAGAUCGUAUAUGACAGCGAGUAUGAUCCGAUUACUCUUGCUCGUCUGGUCCAGUGGCUGCCUUCCCGGUACACUGCACUAAAACCUCAGCACAGUCUGUCUUAAGAAUGUCCGCAUCACCAUUGUUGUAUAUGCUGUAACAAUUAAAUCACUUCUCUUCUCAGUACAUAACAUGAGAUUACACAUUACUAUCACAGUUCAUCAUGCUCAUU